rnacentral:rRNA from 1 species
UACGGAGGAGGCAAGCGUUAUCCGGAAUUAUUGGGCGUAAAGCGUCCGCAGGUGGCUAUUCAAGUCUGCGGUCAAAGACUGGGGCUUAACCCUGGAAAGGCCGUGGAAACUGAAGAGCUAGAGUGCAGUAGGGGUAGAGGGAAUUCCCGGUGUAGCGGUGAAAUGCGUAGAGAUCGGGAAGAACAUCGGUGGCGAAAGCGCUCUGCUGGACUGCAACUGACACUCAGGGACGAAAGCUAGGGGAGCGAAUGGG